rnacentral:misc_RNA from 1 species
ACACGUACAGUGGGGAUGUUACAGUGGAGGUGUGGCUUGUGUAAUUCUAGGGUGCUAGGGUGAUGGCUGGGGAGGUGAUGGUGAGGAAUCUCCUCUUUGCCUGGAGAAAGAGCCCAUUCUUCUUGCUAGUCUCUUAGCAGGUGCCAUUGGUGCUUUUGAGAAGAGGAAAAGCUAGGGUUUUGUGAGGGGAGAGAAGUUUGGUGGUGAG